rnacentral:rRNA from 1 species
AAUACAUCGGAACGUGCCCGAUCGUGGGGGAUAACGAGGCGAAAGCUUUGCUAAUACCGCAUACGAUCUACGGAUGAAAGCGGGGGAUCUUCGGACCUCGCGCGGACGGAGCGGCCGAUGGCAGAUUAGGUAGUUGGUGGGAUAAAAGCCUACCAAGCCGACGAUCUGUAGCUGGUCUGAGAGGAUGAUCAGCCACACUGGGACUGAGACACGGCCCAGACUCCUACGGGAGGCAGCAGUGGGGAAUUUUGGACAAUGGGGGCAACCCUGAUCCAGCCAUGCCGCGUGCAGGAUGAAGGCCUUCGGGUUGUAAACUGCUUUUGUACGGAACGAAAAGGCUUUCUCUAAUAAAGAGGGCUCAUGACGGUACCGUAAGAAUAAGCACCGGCUAACUACGUGCCAGCAGCCGCGGUAAUACGUAGGGUGCAAGCGUUAAUCGGAAUUACUGGGCGUAAAGCGUGCGCAGGCGGUUUUGUAAGACAGAGGUGAAAUCCCCGGGCUCAACCUGGGAACUGCCUUUGUGACUGCAAGGCUGGAGUGCGGCAGAGGGGGAUGGAAUUCCGCGUGUAGCAGUGAAAUGCGUAGAUAUGCGGAGG